GACGAACGCUGGCGGCGUGCUUAACACAUGCAAGUCGAACGGAAAGGCCCUGCUUUUGUGGGGUGCUCGAGUGGCGAACGGGUGAGUAACACGUGAGUAACCUGCCCUUGACUUUGGGAUAACUUCAGGAAACUGGGGCUAAUACCGGAUAGGAGCUCCUGCUGCAUGGUGGGGGUUGGAAAGUUUCGGCGGUUGGGGAUGGAAUCGCGGCUUAGCAGCUUGUUGGUGAGGUAGUGGCUUACCAAGGCUUUGACGGGUCGCCGGCCUGAGAGGGUGACCGGCCACAUUGGGACUGAGGUACGGCCCAGAGGGCUACGGGAGGCAGCAGUGGGGAAUAUUGCACGAUGGGCGGAAGCCUGAUGCAGCAACGCCGCGUGCGGGAUGACGGCCGUCGGGUUGGAAACCGCUUGCGCCUGUGACGAAGCGUGAGUGACGGUAGUGGGUAAAGAAGCACCGGCUAACUACGUG
rnacentral:rRNA from 1 species